UUUCGAAAAAUUUUAUUGUUACUGUAAACAUUUAAAAACAUUACAUUGUUGCAAUUAUUCAGAAAUUUCUAAAAACUUACAAAUUCAUCAAUUUAGGCUAAAAGAAGCUAAGAACAAGAACUAUAAAAUACAAAAUCUCUGUGUGUUAAAAGUUGAGCAGGACCGGGGUGACUCCCUCCCAAGUCCGGAGGGGUCCCGUCCUUCCAGACAGCACUUGGUGCUCAGAGGGGAAACCUGCCCUGAAGCUCCUUCCCUCCUGCCUCACCCGGAGAGCCAGGCCGCCGCUGCUUGGACCUCUACUCGUGGAGCACCGGCUCCUUCGUCCACGGAGGCGCAGGCGAUUCUUCUUGGUGGCUGUGUCCUUGGCGCGCCACCUGCAGCCCUUGGUGUUCCUCUUUUUGCUGCUGCCAUCCGGAGCACAGCCACGGGGGGCAUCUGCCUGCGCCUGCUCACCAGCAAGUUUCUGGAGGUCCAAGUGGCCUACCCCAAUGAU